AAACCCUUUUAAAAUU
rnacentral:sRNA from 1 species